rnacentral:lncRNA from 1 species
GGGUCCUUCUCACUGCCUGGGGUCCGAGGCAUAGAGGCCGGGGUGCCGGGUCUGGCCUCGGGGUCCCCGGGCACCGCGGCAAGGCAGGCCGGUCAGGGGGGCCACGCCUGGGACGGUGCCCCCCAGCGCUGGCCAAGGGCCUCUGGCCGAGCUCCCCAGUGCGCGGAUCUCAGAGCCCGGCGUCCUGCGCCUCCGGCCCCCGCUGGCCACCGGGACCCAGGCUGCCCGGCCCUAACUGUCUGCCCCGAGGGCCCUGGGAUCGCUGCUGUCCCGCAGGGCAGAGCUCUCCUCCCCGCUGUCCCGCCCGGCGCCUCCACCUGCAGCUGCCCGGGGGGGCGACCCGGGCCACUCACGUGCCAGAUGGCGAAGAAGAUGAGCGCGGCGCACAGCACGAGGGCCAGCAUGUAGCAGAAGGCGGCGAAGGUGAAGGCCAUGGCGCGGCGACCCGCGAGGCUUCCAGCGCCGCGCGCCCAGGUCAGGGCUCUGCUGUCCCGCCCUCCCCCAGCCCUGUGUCACCUUCUGGUGUCUAGAACAACAAACAUCUGGGUAAAGGAGACUGAGAUUGCAGAACCUAAGAACCCCGGCUAGUGCUCAUUAAUCAAAAGCUGUAGUUGAUGCCCCCGUACACCAGCACUUUGAGGACCCACAGGCUCCAGUCUGUCAGUGCUACUGAUGUGAAUACUGGAUGCAGAUCGUUCUUCAUUCGUGUUGAGACCUGUGGGAUUUGUCACCUGCAGCGGGAACAGUCGCUGAGCAGAAAGUGAUUAAGAAGACGCAGAGGCAGGGAGCUCUCUGCAGACUUAGCAAGUCAGAGGCGCCCCACCUCCCCACCCACCCCCAGGAACCCAGACUGCAGGGAGGACCACUUGGAGCCUCACAGCCAGGAGCCAGGGGUCCCCACAACAAGCUGUGCUGAGCGGCCUCCACCU